GACCCAGUGGCGGAAGUAAUCGCACCUGCUCGCAAUAUUGUGUUCUUCCCAACAUCAGACCGCAGAAGUUCCUGGUUCGAGUCCAGGCUGGGGCA